GACGAACGCUGGCGGCGUGCUUAACACAUGCAAGUCGUACGGUAAGGCCCUUUCGGGGGUACACGAGUGGCGAACGGGUGAGUAACACGUGAGUAACCUGCCCACAACUUUGGGAUAACGCUAGGAAACUGGUGCUAAUACUGGAUAUGUUCUCCUGCUGCAUGGUGGGGGUUGGAAAGCUCCGGCGGUUGUGGAUGGACUCGCGGCCUAUCAGCUUGUUGGUGGGGUAGUGGCCUACCAAGGCGGCGACGGGUAGCCGGCCUGAGAGGGUGACCGGCCACAUUGGGACUGAGAUACGGCCCAGACUCCUACGGGAGGCAGCAGUGGGGAAUAUUGCACAAUGGGCGCAAGCCUGAUGCAGCAACGCCGCGUGCGGGAGGACGGCCUUCGGGUUGUAAACCGCUUUCAGCAGGGACGAAGCUUUUUGUGACGGUACCUGCAGAAGAAGCACCGGCUAACUACGUG
rnacentral:rRNA from 1 species